AACGAACGCUGGCGGCAGGCCUAACACAUGCAAGUCGAGCGAGGACUUCGGUCCUAGCGGCGGACGGGUGAGUAACGCGUGGGAACGUGCCCUUUGCUUCGGAAUAGCACUGGGAAACUGGGAGUAAUACCGGAUGAGCCCGUUGGGGGAAAGAUUUAUCGGCGAAGGAUCGGCCCGCGUUGGAUUAGGUAGUUGGUGGGGUAAUGGCCUACCAAGCCGACGAUCCAUAGCUGGUUUGAGAGGAUGAUCAGCCACACUGGGACUGAGACACGGCCCAGACUCCUACGGGAAGCAGCAGUGGGGAAUCUUAGACAAUGGGGGAAACCCUGAUCUAGCCAUGCCGCGUGAGCGAUGAAGGCCUUAGGGUUGUAAAGCUCUUUCAGCUGGGAAGAUAAUGACGGUACCAGCAGAAGAAGCCCCGGCUAACUCCGUG
rnacentral:rRNA from 1 species